AAAGGCGUGCUGCUGGGACUGUGUCAAUAAAUAAAAGUCCGGAUACAUCUUCGCAUGGAGCUCAUGCAAGUCCUUUUAGCCAAAGGGAACUUAUUAGUCAAUUCACAAUAGGCAAUAAUAGUAAUGACUCAAGACCUACCUCAUCUGGAGGUCGAA
rnacentral:ribozyme from 1 species